rnacentral:rRNA from 1 species
AGGGCACCACCAGGAGUGGAGCCUGCGGCUUAAUUUGACUCAACACGGGAAAACUUACCUGGUCAGGACACUGGAAGGAUUGACAGAUUGAGAGCUCUUUCUUGAUUCAGUGGGUGGUGGUGCAUGGCCGUUCUUAGUUGGUGGAGCGAUUUGUCUGGUUAAUUCCGAUAACGAACGAGACUCUAGCCUACUAAAUAGACUGCUCAACUUUAUAGCUGUAUCACCUUGCAGUUGCUUCGGUGGCUGUAAGGCUAUGGUGACGUUGGCAGUGCUUCUUAGAGGGACAGGCGGCGGUUCAGCCGCACGAAACAGAGCAAUAACAGGUCUGUGAUGCCCUUAGAUGUCCAGGGCCGCACGCGCGCUACACUGAAGUGAUCAGCGUGCAAUUAACGUUUCCUACUCCGUCAGGAGUGGGUAACCCGUUGAACCUUCUUCGUGAUUGGGAUAGGGGAUUGUAAUUAUUCCCCUUGAACGAGGAAUUCCCAGUAAGCACAAGUCAUAAGCUUGCGUUGAUUACGU